rnacentral:rRNA from 2 species
GGUGGGCUGCAGUCGACGAUUCCUACGGGAGGCAGCAGUAGGGAAUCAUCCGCAAUGGGCGAAAGCCUGACGGUGCAACGCCGCGUGAACGAUGAAGGUUUUCGGAUCGUAAAGUUCUGUUAUGAGGGAAGAACAAGUGCCGUUCGAAUAGGGCGGCACCUUGACGGUACCUAACCAGAAAGCCACGGCUAACUACGUGCCAGCAGCCGCGGUAAUACGUAGGUGGCAAGCGUUGUCCGGAAUUAUUGGGCGUAAAGCGCGCGCAGGCGGUUUUUUAAGUCUGAUGUGAAAUCUCGAGGCUCAACCUCGAGCGGCCAUUGGAAACUGGGAGACUUGAGUGCAGAAGAGGAGAGUGGAAUUCCAUGUGUAGCGGUGAAAUGCGUAGAUAUAUGGAGGAACACCAGUGGCGAAGGCGACUCUCUGGUCUGUAACUGACGCUGAGGCGCGAAAGCGUGGGGAGCAAACAGGAUUAGAUACCCUGGUAGUCCACGCCGUAAACGAUGAGUGCUAGGUGUUAGGGGUUUCGAUGCCCUUAGUGCCGAAGUUAACACAUUAAGCACUCCGCCUGGGGAGUACGACCGCAAGGUUGAAACUCAAAUGAAUUGACGG